rnacentral:rRNA from 1 species
GACAGGGGGUGCAAGCGUUGCUCGGAAUCACUGGGCGUAAAGCGCACGUAGGCGGUCUCGUAAGUCGGGUGUGAAAGCCCUCAGCCUAACUGAGGAACUGCGCCCGAUACUGCGAGGCUAGAGGAUGGGAGGGGAGAGUGGAAUUCCUGGUGGAGCGGUGAAAUGCGUAGAUAUCAGGAGGAAUACCAGUGGCGAAGGCGACUCUCUGGUCCAUUCCUGACGCUGAGGUGCGAGAGCUAGGGGAGCAAACGGG